rnacentral:rRNA from 1 species
GGUAGCGAAAUUCCUUGUCGGGUAAGUUCCGACCUGCACGAAUGGCGUAAUGAUGGCCAGGCUGUCUCCACCCGAGACUCAGUGAAAUUGAACUCGCUGUGAAGAUGCAGUGUACCCGCGGCAAGACGGAAAGACCCCGUGAACCUUUACUAUAGCUUGACACUGAACAUUGAGCCUUGAUGUGUAGGAUAGGUGGGAGGCUUUGAAGUGUGGACGCCAGUCUGCAUGGAGCCGACCUUGAAAUACCACCCUUUAAUGUUUGAUGUUCUAACGUGGACCCGUUACCCGGGUUGCGGACAGUGUCUGGUGGGUAGUUUGACUGGGGCGGUCUCCUCCUAAAGAGUAACGGAGGAGCACGAAGGUUGGCUAAUCCUGGUCGGACAUCAGGAGGUUAGUGCAAUGGCAUAAGCCAGCUUGACUGCGAGCGUGACGGCGCGAGCAGGUGCGAAAGCAGGUCAUAGUGAUCCGGUGGUUCUGAAUGGAAGGGCCAUCGCUCAACGGAUAAAAGGUACUCCGGGGAUAACAGGCUGAUACCGCCCAAGAGUUCAUAUCGACGGCGGUGUUUGGCACCUCGAUGUCGGCUCAUCACAUCCUGGGGCUGAAGUAGGUCCCAAGGGUAUGGCUGUUCGCCAUUUAAAGUGGUACGCGAGCUGGGUUUAGAACGUCGUGAGACAGUUCGGUCCCUAUCUGCCGUGGGCGCUGGAGAACUGAGGGGGGCUGCUCCUAGUACGAGAGGACCGGAGUGGACGCAUCACUGGUGUUCGGGUUGUCAUGCCAAUGGCACUGCCCGGUAGCUAAAUGCGGAAGAGAUAAGUGCUGAAAGCAUCUAAGCACGAAACUUGCCCCGAGAUGAGUUCUCCCUGAGACUUAGAGUCUCCUGAAGGAACGUUGAAGACGACGACGUUGAUAGGCCGGGUGUGUAAGCGCAGCGAUGCGUUGAGCUAACCGGUACUAAUGAACCGUGAGGCUUAACCUUACA